UUUGUGCCUCCAUCUCUCUCAAUUACCCCAUCUUCUUUACCCUCUCCUUUCCCUCCCACAUCAGUCACCACAUACCAUCUCCGAUCAAGCCGCCACCGCCGACCAACCUAUAAUCUUGCAAUCCCUGCAAGCUUAUAACCCCUAAAUUUUUUAAGUUGCUUUCAUAGACACCAUCCACCAUAUAAGUUAAGGCGCCAUCCACCUCCCAUCGAUCAACCAUCGCCGCCCAAUCACACGUCUGCCUAAGGUGACUCAUUUUACUCCAGGAUUAAAUUAAUUUCUUUCUUGAUUUAUAUUCCUGAUUUGUACAUAUUUUUUUAGCCUUUUUAGGUUUACUUUCCAUAUAGCUAGUCAUUAGAUUUCUCAAUUUAUUAUUAUAUGUAGAUAAAUCAUUCUCCUUAAAGUUGUGUUCAAAAUAAAUUUUCUCUAAUUUCUAAGUAUUAAGCAAAGAAAGUUCAAAAUUUCAAUGUUAUACUGUGCAGCAUGAACUAUAACUCCACUUCAAACAUUCACGGUAAGUUAAAAGGCCAUACCAUAUUUCUGAAUUGUUUUGAUUAAUAAGGGUAUGACUCUUGGCUUGAUAUCAUCUGGCUUCAACACAACCUUUUGGAUAGUAGUAUAAUGUGAAAUGAGACACAUUAAAAUUGGAUAGUAGUAUAAUGUGAAAUGAGAAACGUUAAAAUUGGAUUUUGGGUAAAAAUAAGAGUUUGGGAAGAUAGAAUAGAAACCAAGAUGAUUGUUUUAGGGUGAAGAAAGCACGGGCGGACCCAAGGGGGUCCUGGGGGGUCACUUGAACCCCCCCCCCCCCCCCCAAAAAAAAAACAAAUCUUUUGUGAUUUUCCCUUUUUUUUUUUUGUGAUAAAAUCUUGUUUGGUAUUGAUCGGAAUCUAAAUUUUAAUCUAAAUUAAAGUCAGCAAUUAAUUUUAAUAACAUAUUUUAAUGGAUUCCUUAACUUUUUAAGUUUUAUUGAAAUUUAUUGAAAAUCGGACUUUAAUCUUCACCAAACAAGGACAAGAUCACAAUAAAUUUGAAUUUUUCUCUCUUUUUUAUUGUUCUAUCUUAUUCUCUCCAUCAUGCCUUUUAUUAAAACCUUAAUCCUUCUAAUUUUUUAAAAUUUAUUUUUAAUUUCUCAAGAAUUAUCACUACUACAAAUUUUCACUUUUCAAUCAAAUUUUCAACUAAUUGGAACCUAAAUUUGCAUUUUCUCCCAUCCUAUUUCUGUAUAUAACACGUGUCUAAACUGAUUAUAUAAAAUUUAACUUAUAUCUAACGAAUUGUGUUUAUUUGACUGAAUAUUAGUAUUGGAUAUUGAUUAUAUGUUUUUCCUUUCGAUUACUUGAAUUGAUUAUUUGUAUCAAAUAUACAAUUUUUUAAAAUAUAAAUAUGCAUUUUCUUGUGAUGAGCAAAAUUGAUGAAAAAUAUUUUUUAAAUGUAAAUCUGCAUUUUUUUUGGGUCAAAUAUGAAUCAUUCAAAAAUCAAGAACAAAAUAUUCGAUUUGUACAAAAUUUGAUUGUGCCCUUCUAGCUCAAAUUUUCUGUGUCCGUCCCUGGAAGAGAGUACACGGAUUGAUCACCAUCUCAUAUUCUACUAAAGCUCAGUUUGCUUGUAUCUCCAUAAUUUCAUUUCGGGUGAAAUUAUUUCGCCUAAUGCCUCUUUGCUGAAUUUUGAAUCAAUUAGGCAAAAAUUGUGCAUCAUUAAAGAUAGAAUCAAUUAGGCAACAAUUGUACAUCAUUGAAGCAACAAACCCUUUGUGUUGCAGAAUAAAUUUAUCUACAAGCACAACUUGAAACCGAAAACUAACAAUAUCAAAAUGUCAGAAAUAACGUUAGGAACAAACUGCCUAGAGACCCUAUCGCCUAAAAAUGCUGCACGCGCCCUCACGUGCCGGAGAGACUCUCUGUGCCCGGUUACCAUGCGUUGCCGUCAGUGACACGCACUGACCACCAGGACUACCUCCACCUACACGUCACACCACUGGUCUCCGUUUCUGCCAAACUCUUUCUAGAUUGGUCGAAAAUCACGAAAAUAGAGGUUGAUUUUAAGCAAUUUUUUAGACAAUUUUUCGAUCUGGUUUUUACUUCAUUUCUGCGGAUUUUUUGGACAUUUUCUAGUAGGUUUCUGUGGCACUGGCAGAGGAGAGCAGUGCAAUAUUACAAAAUAAACUACCUCCCAAACUCAAGGAUCCCGAGGUUUCACUUUACCCAUUUCAAUUGGAGAAACUGGUUUUUUCAAUACUUUAUGUGAUACAGGCACAAGUAUUAAUUUAAUGCCUUUAUAUGUCUUCAAGAAAUUGGGAUUAUGGAAAGCAAAAGAAACAACAAUGUUAUUGCAACUGGCUGAUAAAAACAUCAAAUAUCCAAGAGGUAACAUUGAGGCUAUACUCAUCAAGGCUGGCAAAUUUAUAUUUCCAACAAACUUUAUUGUUCUAUACAUAGAAGAAGAUAGAGAUAUUCUAAUAAUCUUAGAACGUCUAUUCUUAACAACAGGUCAAAUUUUGAUUGAUAUGGAGAAAUGUGAACUAAUAUUGAGAGUUUAUAAGGAACAAUAAGUUUUUAAAAUACACAAUGCAUCCAAACAACCAUCAAACCUCGAUGAAUAUAAGUAUAUUCAUGAAGAUGAACUAUCCAUUCAACAAAACUGUCAAAAUAGAAAACCAAAUUUUGGAGGAAUUAUUGGCAAGGACAAUAACGGAGAAUUCAUAGUUUAGAGAGAUAAAAGGGGAUGCAAGGCUAGAAAUUGCAAGGAGUACAAGGCAAAACAUUUUAAUUUAAACCACCUUAAGGAAAUCACCCCAAAAGUUGAGCUCUAAGCUAUAAAACGAGUGCUUAAUGGGAAGCAACCCAUUUUCUAUCACUUUUCACUUAUUUUGAUUAAUUAUUGCAUUACAAGUAGUUUUAGGGAUUGCAUAAACUUAAGAACUCGAGCAUUUAAAUGAUUUGCUUCGAACACAUUUUAGGUAGUACUUUAAGACUAGCAUUAGUAAUUUAGGCAUGUUUACUUAUUGGGUUUAUUUUUACUUAAACUCAUCGUUAACAUCCUAGCAUUAUAUUAAGCUUACCUUGAUGUGAUAUGAAUUAUUAAGGUUUGCACUUAGACUUCAAUAUCCUACCUAUUUUGAAAGACUUAUAUUUUCCUAGCAAUAGGAUUUUUGUAGGGACGACACUUUGUCCAAACAUUAGAUGAUUAGAAAUUUUUUGGUGUGAAUUCAUUACAAAUAUUUAAACCUUAUUCACUAUCACUAAUAUUUAUUUUGAAUGCUUGAAAGAGAAAAUUAAAGCCUAGCAAUAAAGAAAAGUGGCAGUUGAAAUGACUUCUCCUAGCUGAGCCAACUUGAUCAUUCUACCUAUCAGCAUCUAUCCUGACGAGUUACUGAUCCUUACUAUAAUUGUUGAUGUUGUUGAUCUAGGUUUGAAUAAAAAUUUCCAAAUCCUUUAUAGAAACUAAAUUGCUAUAAAUCAGUUUUGGGGCAGGAAGGUUAGUGAUUGUUUUCAUAGAUGUGUGAUGAUUUGGAGUUCUUGGAUCCCAGCAUUAGUUGAAGGAAUUUGAGUUUAGGAGUCUAAAACAGGUACUGAUCAUCCUUAAAAAAAAUUCAAAUCUCAUACGUAUGUAACCUCUUUCGUAGCCUUUAUGACUUAAGUGAUUAAGAUUGCUAAGGUCUUUAAAACUUGGUGCCCUAUAAUUGUCUGGUUUGGGAGUCAUCGGCCUAAUGCUUGCUACAGGGGAUCAUUUAGAAAGUUUAAUGGAAAGAAGUUUUGCACAUAAGAUGUUAAAAAAAAAAGGACGAAUGAAAAGUUAGAUUCUCAUAUUAAAAGAAAAAGUGACAAAUCUUCUACCUCUCAUCAUAAUCGUUUUGACUCGAGUUAUUAAGUCUAUAAGGGUAUUUAAAAAUUUGGUGUUCUAUAGUUUGAUUUGGGAGUCAUCGACUUAAAGAUCGCUACAUGCAUCAUCUAGGAAGCUUAAAGAAGAUAAGUCUUGUGUAGGAGAUGUAAAAAAAAUGAUCUAAAUAAUCAAAAGUGAACUGUGCUCGGUAAAGACUUUGAGAUUUAAACUCUAGGGAUUAGCAGUGUGACUUUAAGAAACACUUACCAUCUUUUUCCUAGGUUUACAUAUAUCCAAACCACUUGAGUGAAAAAUGCGUUAUAAUAAUUUUUAGAAACCCAUAUGUGCUAGAAGUACUUCGGGCUUUGGGAGAAAAACAUAUGGAUUGCUGAUGCACAAGAGGCAUGAGGAAAAAUUGACCACAAGAGGAUUGGGAUUGUGCAUAAAUCAACAUUACUUGAUUAGCUGUGUUCUAGUAUGGGUUUGAGUUCAAUGUUGGCUAGUCAUACACACACUAAGUCGAGCAUCGGAUAAGUAAAAAUCUAUUUUAAUAUUAUUUGGAUCUUUCUAAAGUAUUGCUUAAAUUUGAACGUAAGGCUUAUGAUAAGCGAUUCAUCGUUGAGUCUUUUAUUUGUGAUUUGUUUGGGUUAAUCAUAUGUGUCAUAUAUAAGUUUUAUUUUAUUUUCUUCGAGGAUGAACAAAUGUUUUAGUUUGGGGGUGUUUGAUAAAUACAUUAUUGUGCACUUAUUUAGGACAUAUUAUUAAACUUUUAUGUCAUCAAAUUUUUGAAUUUUAUUUAACUUGGGUUAAUUUUCUUUUGUUUUACUAAUAGACUCGUUUGAAGCAAUCGAUAAGAAAAUAAGGAUUGAUUGGCCAUUAAGUAGAAGUUUGUGGACUAAAUCUCACUUGAAUAAAAGCUGGAGGAUCAAAAUCGAGGAGAAAAUGAAGAUAGGGACUAUCUUGCAUCACUGGAAGAAUUGAGGCCUUAGAAGAUAAAUUGCAACUAAUUGGGCCUCAAAAUAAUGAAAUUUUAAUUGGGCCUAGAGUGGACUUUUAAUUGUAAAUAAAUUGAAUAAUUAAUGGAACGUUGAAUUGAAAUUGCAACUAAUUGGGCCUCAAAUUGAUGAAAUGUGAAAAUUUAAUUGGGCCUAAAGUGGACUUUUAAUUGUAAUUAAAUUGAAUAAUUAAUGGAACGUUGAAUUGGGCAGCUGCUUUAGAAUUGUGAAAGUGUGUGUGUGUGUGUGUGUAGAAUUGAAUAUACAUACAUGCAAAAGGGUGGUAGAAAUUUGGGAAGAAAAGACUAGGUGGAUAGAAACAUUUGGGCGGUUGGAGAAAAGAUAAAAGAGAAGCAAAGCCGGUGGAAAAUCAAUUCAAAUUUGAGGAAUUAAUCACGCUCAAUCGAUGUUUUGUGAUGUCUUUUAUCAUUUAUUUGCCUAAUUUCAAUAUUAUGUUAGGCUAAAUUAUUAUGUGGUAGGAUUUACGAUAAAUCUUUUUAUAAUGAGCCUUUAAAUCUAAAUUUGAUUUCUUUUGACAUUUAAAACACAUUUUCGAUUUUUGAAUGAUUGGCAUGGAUUUAAUAUUUUCAAAAAUUACUUGAUCAGUAAUUUUACAUUGGAGAGAUGGAAAACAAGUUAAACAUUGUGUCAAUUAUCGUAGAGUCGAUAGGGAAUAGAAAUAUACAUUUAUGCUUUAUGUGAUCUUUAAGUAUUCACAAAUUCAUUAAUACAUUUUUAUAUGUUCACAUCCAUCACAGAAAUAAAGGCAGGUCACAUGUAAAAAUGGGUUUAAUUCUACUCGAGAGAGAUUGUUAAACAAAUUAGAAAUAUUGGUUUUCAUAAUUGAAUCGUGUUGUCAAAUUUAUAAAUUUUGAGUUAUAUAUUUUUCUAAAAUUUUCAUUUAACUUAAGUCUUGGAUUUAGGCCUUGUAUUUAUAAGUAUAUUAUUUAAUUUAGUUAGAAAAAAUUUACAACUUUCAAUUGUUUCGAUUAAAGCUAAGUUAAUUUGAACUUGAACUAAAUUAAUCUCUGUGGGAACUAUACUUGGAUUCAAAAAAAAUUCAUUUGACUAAUUUUUAAUUAACCGUGCACUUGCGAAUUUUAAAUUGGAAUAAUAUUUUUGUGAACAACUAACAUGCAUCGAUGAAUAAUGUGGUUGUCAUAUUUCCAUUUGUUAAUUUCAUACUAUCUCUUGCUCUCUUUUGGUUUCCCUUAUUCGAGUUAGGAGUAAAACAAAGUAAUGUGAUUGGUAUGUUGCCUGUUUGGAAGAUUUUGGAGUUGCAUUAGAUAAAACCAUCGUGUUGUAACAAUUGGAGGGUAAAAAUGUAAUGGUGGGUAUUUUGACUUUAUAGAGCACUUUGUACAAACAUGAUUUUUGGCUAUUUCUUGGGUAAUGAUGUUGCUAGAAGCUCUUAAUGAUUAUGCAUGUUGGUGUAGAUGAUUUUAUUUUUGCAACCUCUUUACUAUGUAUGUUACUGGAAAGAUGCAUUUGAAAUUUCCUUAACACCUAUUUGUAGGAGAACCCUAAGUAUGGAAAGUU
rnacentral:lncRNA from 1 species